UACGAAGGGGGCUAGCGUUGUUCGGAAUCACUGGGCGUAAAGGGCGCGUAGGCGGCUUUGUAAGUCGGGGGUGAAAGCCCGGGGCUCAACCCCGGAAUUGCCUUUAAGACUGCAUCGCUUGAAUCCGGGAGAGGUGAGUGGAAUUCCGAGUGUAGAGGUGAAAUUCGUAGAUAUUCGGAAGAACACCAGUGGCGAAGGCGGCUCACUGGACCGGUAUUGACGCUGAGGUGCGAAAGCGUGGGGAGCAAACAGG
rnacentral:rRNA from 1 species